CUCUUUAAUUUUUUUUAUCGAUCAAACUAAAACGGAAAUGUGAUAGAGAUCUUAAAAAUGUUUUGUCUUCGCAAAACCGAUGUAAUCGCGUCUAAAUAAUCUGGUUUCAAUAUCGGUGAAUUUUAAUGUGAUUAACCUUUAGAAAUAAGUAUCUUGAUUGCGUUAAUAAGCGUCAUCGUUAUUUUGCACUGCGGAUUUAUUAAUAAUAAUGAAUAGACACGACUAUUUUGCGUGAACUUGUUUCUCAUAAUUGCAUGACCGAUGACUGCCAACAUUUAUGAUUUAAAUCUGUCGUAAAUUGCACUUUGUGCCAACACCGAAAGCUAACGUCGUUUCUUCUUUCAAUUCCGCCCACUCGCGGAAUUUCUUCUAGAUCAUUACAAUAUGUUACUUUGUAAGAAAUAUGUGAGACAUGUGAAGCCUUUACGGAAGCAAAGAUACAAAAAAGGAAGGAAACGGACAUGCCUAUCGGCGUGGGUGAAAACUGUCCAAGCAAGCCAGCGAAGCACGCGUAGACAGACACUGACCGUGACUCCCAUGGAUGCCUAGAAGAGGUUUACUUUAUGUAAAUAGAGGGGACGAUCUUCUGUCAUUGCAACAUCGGGCCAAAUCAACCGUAGCAUAUAUUUGUCGCGUUUAUGCCGCAUUUCUAAAAUUUUCUCUCCUACAUGACGCAUAAAACAUUCAAAAGUAAUCAAGACUGCGAUGGAAAGUCAAAAUACGGCGAGGAUGGCGGCAGUAAAAGUAGAAGAGAGCAGUGGGACAACGAGAGGGAUGAGGAAAAGGUUGCAGACGUAAAGUGUAAACAGCCGAGGUGCGAUUUGACGCGCACUCGGCCUGGGCCGUGUGUACAAGGCGCGCCUUCCGCUUUAAGAAUCGCCCCGUGGAAGAGGACGAUGGCUGGAAUCUGUAAAUCUGUCAUUACGGCCGUAUUCGUGCGCAGGAUAUGAACUUCUUGGUCGCGUCGCACAUCACCGCGCCGCGCCGCGACGCUUCCUCAGAUCUGGCCGGUUGACUUCUUCAGAGGGUCGCGGCAAGAGUUUUCGAUCUUUCGAAAGUACAUGUGGUGUACAUAACAAUCGAGAUAUCAAAUUAAGGAGAUUGGUUGCUUCAUCCAGUGAGCGCCGCUUGCAGGACUGUCAGGAUGCACGUGAAUCCUGGGGGGUGAUACAGGAUCAGCACGACCCGCGACAACCCAAGCGCUGCUGUGGAACGCAUAUCGGUACCUUUUAUCAUCACACGGAACGAAAUCCAUC